rnacentral:lncRNA from 1 species
UUGCCUAUAAGAAGAACACCUUCCCAUUGUAAUAUACAGAUAGAAAUGGAGAAACCAAUCUCUACACUUUUCUCUCAAAUUUCUCUUUUAGUUUAUAACACGUUAUCAGCACGAAUUCGCUCUCAAAUAUACCAGCUGAAUUCGCUGACGAUGAACCUCUGCAAACUCCUAACUUCUGCCAGCUGAAAACCACGAAAAACAAUUCCUCUCUGUUUGAUUUGUUUAGAGACCAAAAGCAAGAGCAAGCGUCGAGCUCCCUUGCCGCGAGCUCUCUCCCAUGCUUGCUGUGCUGAAACUCUGUUCCUUAAUAACACUCAAUUGCAAAGUUGCAAACUUUUUGUUUUUUGCAAGCUACACAUGACGAUGAUGACGCUGCCCAGAAAGAAGCUCGCGAAGAACCACUUCCAAGUCAGAUUUCUUCGAUGGCUUACCGAACGAUCUCGUCAUCGUCAGUGAAAAAAAAAAAAAAAAAAACUGAUCCAAAAUCGCAGGCAGUGGCUCUGGAGUGGUAGCUGGUGCUGCUGUUUCUGGUGUUUGUCGGAGCUGGAGGCACCUCACCAAGGAGAUCGUCUUGUUGGAGCUCUUAUCUGGAAGAGAAGCUGCUGCGGCUGCUGUUCUUGUUGUUGUUCUUCUUUAUGGAUAUGGUGGCUAUGGUCUGGUGUCCCAUCUUUGGUUGAGGUCAGUCUAUGAACAAUCCAUCUAAUUGCACAAGUGCCGCAACACAAGAAAACAAAAAAAAAAAGGCAAAAAAGGAAUCGAAUAAAUUGGCAGACAAAUUGAUUGGUGGCUGUUUGUCUUGGUAUAUGAUUAAUUAUUGGCAACCACAUGUCAUUGCCAACUUGCAAGGAGGAGACAAUAAAAGCAGCACAGUAAAGCCCACAAACGAUAAUAAUAUUAUCUACUAUAUUAUUUGAUUGUGGUGUUGAUAUGAACCCACAAAUAAUUGUCUUUACUUUAUUCAUUCCGCAAUUAUUUUAUUUACUGUAUGGUGUAGGUUUAUUACCCAUACAAGCACAUUUACUUUAUCAUAAAUUUACUUUAAAGGGUGGUGCGGGUUUAUCGUCCACGCCUUUACUGCUUUACU